rnacentral:rRNA from 1 species
AGUGAACGCUGGCGGCAUGCCUAACACAUGCAAGUCGAACGGCAGCACAGUAAGAUCUUGCUCCUACGGGUGGCGAGUGGCGGACGGGUGAGGAAUACAUCGGAAUCUACUUUUUCGUGGGGGACAACGUAGGGAAACAUACGCUAAUACCUCAUACGACCUACGGGUGAAAGCAGGGGAUCUUCGGACCUUGCGCGACUGAAUGAGCCGAUGUCGGAUUAGCUAGUUGGCGGGGUAAAGGCCCACCAAGGCGACGAUCCGUAGCUGGUCUGAGAGGAUGAUCAGCCACACUGGAACUGAGACACGGUCCAGACUCCUACGGGAGGCAGCAGUGGGGAAUAUUGGACAAUGGGCGCAAGCCUGAUCCAGCCAUGCCGCGUGGGUGAAGAAGGCCUUCGGGUUGUAAAGCCCUUUUGUUCGGAAAGAAAAGCAGCAGGUUAAUACCCGGCUGUUCUGACGGUACCCAAAGAAUAAGCACCGGCUAACUUCGUG